rnacentral:lncRNA from 1 species
GAGAAUAGUUUAGGGUUUGAAGAGUCCAACGAACAUUAGACUCUUGCUAGAGUUGCUGCCAAACAUUAGACAUGCUCCCUUCUCAAGCUGUCGCUCUCCACAUUAUUACACAUCCCAAAAAAAAGUUUCUCAUGGCAAAACUAGAUCUCAUCUGAUUUUCCAUGGUGAAAUCCCCCUUUUUGUCACACAAAAGAAAUCCCAUAUGGUAAGGUGUGCAGG